rnacentral:rRNA from 1 species
CCUACGGGGGGCUGCAGUGGGGAAUAUUGGACAAUGGGGGCAACCCUGAUCCAGCCAUGCCGCGUGUGUGAAGAAGGCCUUUUGGUUGUAAAGCACUUUAAGCGAGGAGGAGGCUACCUGUAUUAAUACUAUAGGCUAGUGGACGUUACUCGCAGAAUAAGCACCGGCUAACUCUGUGCCAGCAGCCGCGGUAAUACAGAGGGUGCGAGCGUUAAUCGGAAUUACUGGGCGUAAAGCGCGCGUAGGCGGUUUGUUAAGUCGGAUGUGAAAUCCCCGGGCUCAACCUGGGAAUUGCAUUCGAUACUGGCAAGCUAGAGUAUGGGAGAGGAAGGUAGAAUUCCAGGUGUAGCGGUGAAAUGCGUAGAGAUCUGGAGGAAUACCGAUGGCGAAGGCAGCCUUCUGGCCUAAUACUGACGCUGAGGUGCGAAAGCAUGGGGAGCAAACAGGAUUAGAUACCCAUGUAGUC